rnacentral:rRNA from 1 species
CCUGGCUCAGGACGAACGCUGGCGGCGCGCCUAACACAUGCAAGUCGAACGGAGCUUAAAGAGCUUGCUUUUUGAGCUUAGUGGCGAACGGGUGAGUAACGCGUGAGUAACCUGCCCUGGAGUGGGGGACAACAGUUGGAAACGACUGCUAAUACCGCAUAAGCCCACGGAUUCGCAUGGAUCUGCGGGAAAAGGAUUUAUUCGCUUCAGGAUGGACUCGCGUCCAAUUAGCUAGUUGGUGAGGUAACGGCCCACCAAGGCGAGGAUUGGUAGCCGGACUGAGAGGUUGAACGGCCAUAUUGGGACUGAGACACGGCCCAGACUCCUACGGGAGGCAGCAGUGGGGGAUAUUGCACAAUGGGGGAAACCCUGAUGCAGCGACGCCGCGUGGAGGAAGAAGGUUUUCGGAUUGUAAACUCCUGUCGUUAGGGACGAUAAUGACGGUACCUAACAAGAAAGCACCGGCUAACUACGUGCCAGCAGCCGCGGUAAAACGUAGGGUGCAAGCGUUGUCCGGAAUUACUGGGUGUAAAGGGAGCGCAGGCGGACCGGCAAGUUGGAAGUGAAAACUAUGGGCUCAACCCAUAAAUUGCUUUCAAAACUGCUGGCCUUGAGUAGUGCAGAGGUAGGUGGAAUUCCCGGUGUAGCGGUGGAAUGCGUAGAUAUCGGGAGGAACACCAGUGGCGAAGGCGACCUACUGGGCACCAACUGACGCUGAGGCUCGAAAGCAUGGGUAGCAAACAGGAUUAGAUACCCUGGUAGUCCAUGCCGUAAACGAUGAUUACUAGGUGUUGGAGGAUUGACCCCUUCAGUGCCGCAGUUAAACACAAUAAGUAAUCCACCUUGGGAGUACGACCGCAAGGUUGAAACUCAAAGGAAUUGACGGGGGCCCGCACAAGCAGUGGAGUAUGUGGUUUAAUUCGAAGCAACGCGAAGAACCUUACCAGGUCUUGACAUCCGAUGCAUAGCUUAGAGAUAAGUGAAGUCCUUCGGGACAUCGAGACAGGUGGUGCAUGGUUGUCGUCAGCUCGUGUCGUGAGAUGUUGGGUUAAGUCCCGCAACGAGCGCAACCCUUAUUGCCAGUUACUACGCAAGAGGACUCUGGCGAGACUGCCGUUGACAAAACGGAGGAAGGUGGGGAUGACGUCAAAUCAUCAUGCCCUUUAUGACCUGGGCUACACACGUACUACAAUGGCGUUUAACAAAGAGAAGCAAGACCGCGAGGUGGAGCAAAACUCAAAAACAACGUCUCAGUUCAGAUUGCAGGCUGCAACUCGCCUGCAUGAAGUCGGAAUUGCUAGUAAUCGCGGAUCAGCAUGCCGCGGUGAAUACGUUCCCGGGCCUUGCACUCACCGCCCGUCAA